rnacentral:lncRNA from 1 species
UAGAGCAUAUUUUUCCUAAGAAGAGAAGACUGAUGGUGAAGUGGGAGUUGUAAUUACAAAGUGACCAAGGGGAGAGAGAAUCCAUGCUUUUGCCAGCUGCCAUGUCAUGAGGACACUCAGGCAUUGCCAUGGAGAAGCCCAAGUGACAAGGAACUGAGGCUUCCUGCCAACUGCCAGUGAUGACCUGAGGCUGCAGUCAAGAGCUAUGUGUGGGACCACCUCUUGGAUGUGGAUCCUCCAGCCCAAGCCAGGCCUUCAGAUGACUGCAGACCUGGUUGACAGCUUGACUGUAACCUCACGAGAAGCCCUGAGCCAGAACCACCCAGCUGUGGAGCUCCUGGAUUCCUGACCCUCAGCAACUGUUCGAGAUAAUAAAUGUUUGCUGUUCUAAGCUGCUAAA